GGAAGUCCGCGGGACAGCAAGCUGGAGGCGCGCCGGCGUGAUUCCGACCGCGGGAGCUGGGAGGAGGAGCCGGAGGUGGCUGCGGGGGGCUCCGGCCCAGGCGAAGGAAGGGCAAGAGGCGGUUCGGGCCCGGAGUGGCGCCGGGAGCUACGAAUCACCAAGCUGACCCCCUCUCAUCCCUUCGCCUGGAGAAGAGGGUGUCUCAGGCCCCAGGGAUAAGAGAGAAGGGACCGAAGGGAGCCACAAGUCGGCACCCAGGCGGGGAUGAGGCGGGCAGGAGCCGCUCCGCAGGCGCAGGGCGUAGGGGCGGAGACGGUGGGCAGGGGACUGCAGAAUCGUCCCCGGAGCGGGAUGCGAACCGGCAGAGUUGGGAGAAGAGCCUCCGCGCCGGGGAGCUGAGCAUGCUGCCCCCGCGUGCAGAGCCCGCGUGCACCCAGCCCGGAGAGGGGGCGACAGGGCGGAGGCGGUGGCCCCCGGAAGGUGUCUGGGACCGGACCCGCUGCACGUGAGCCCAGCGCGGGGUCAUGUGCACCGGUUCAGCCCGGUUCGGCGCCCGGACGUGCUGCGUAUCAACAAAAUGAAACUCGGGAAGACAGGAGGGCAAAUAGCUCCGGGUCCUCCAAAACCCCGUCUCCGGCCGCGCGACCUCCCCUCCGCACAGGUCUCCCGCUGCAGCCCCUCCACCCUGCCAGCCCGCGGGGCAAGUUGCAGCCCCGGCGCGCCCCCGCCCGCCCGCGCCCCCUCCCCGGCCCGGGGGCGCUUUGCCGCAGUCAUUAAUAAAGAAGGUCGCCAAG